rnacentral:rRNA from 1 species
UACAGAGGUCUCAAGCGUUGUUCGGAUUCAUUGGGCGUAAAGGGCGCGUAGGUGGCGCCGUAAGUCGGGUGUGAAAUUUCGGAGCUUAACUCCGAAACUGCAUUCGAUACUGCGGUGCUUGAGGACUGGAGAGGAGACUGGAAUUCAUGGUGUAGCAGUGAAAUGCGUAGAGAUCAUGAGGAAGACCAGUGGCGAAGGCGGGUCUCUGGACAGUUCCUGACACUGAGGCACGAAGGCCAGGGGAGCAAACGGG